rnacentral:rRNA from 1 species
GAGACGCUCCCUUCGGUUCCGGCCGGAGUCCGCACAGGUGCUGCAUGGCUGUCGUCAGCUCGUGUCGUGAGAUGUUGGGUUAAGUCCCGCAACGAGCGCAACCCUCGUCUCCAGUUGCCAUCAGGUUAUGCUGGGCACUUUGGAGAAACUGCCGGUGACAAGCCGGAGGAAGGUGGGGAUGACGUCAAGUCCUCAUGGCCCUUACGGGCUGGGCUACACACGUGCUACAAUGGCGGUGACAAUGGGAUGCGAUGGCGCGAGCCGGAGCCGAUCCUAAAAAACCGUCUCAGUUCGGAUUGCACUCUGCAACUCGAGUGCAUGAAGUUGGAAUCGCUAGUAAUCGAGGAUCAGCAUGCCUCGGUGAAUACGUUCCCGGGCCUUGUACACACCGCCCGUCACGCCAUGGGAGUUGGUUCUACCCGAAGAUGGUGCGCUAACCGCAAGGAGGCAGCCAGCCACGGUAGGAUCAAUGACUGGGGCGAAGUCGUAACAAGGUAAGCGUAGUGCU